rnacentral:misc_RNA from 1 species
GUAAACCGUGGUGAGACCUCUGCUCUUCUCACCGAGAGAGUCAAAGAAAGACAAAGACCAGAGAGAGAGAGAGAGAGACCCACUAGAAAGUGGAAAACAGAUCCACACUUUCUUUCUCUAAACAUUCUUUUCUUUUACCUUUUCAAGCUUUUUUUUUUUUUUCGUUUCUUUUUUCUUUGGGUGAAAAAUCUCACAAGAAGAAAAAUGCACAAAAGAUAGGGUCUGUG